rnacentral:lncRNA from 1 species
AGCUGGAGAAUCUGAUGACAGUGCAGGAAAAGACCAGAGCAUCUACGGGGAUGUAUGACUUCUCAGCCGGGCCACUGAUAUGAUAAAGUGGCUGAAUUUGAAUAAAUGUGUGUGUGGGUGUGUGCGCCGUACCUCUGAGCGGGUCCCAUCAGAUGGAUAUGAAUAAUGUAUCGAUAGCCAGCCCCCUGUGAUAGUUCAUACAAUCCCGCCUGUGUGCGUUGUGUUUAGCCUGCCCAGCUGGCAGGGUCACAGGGGAUGCACACACAUUAUGUCACAGUCCCUGGAGAGGUGUGGGUGCAUGUUCCCUUUUCAUCAUCAAUCAGCAGAGCAAACUGUUUAACAACAACAAAGAGGCAGUUAAGAGGCCCCUCAGUUCAUGCCAGAAGUGUGGGGGCUUUAACAUAGCAAGCAGUUGUUUCCUAACAUGUGUAUUCAUUCUGAGCAAAUCUCCAUCAAUUCAUGCCAGCCUAUGAAGGCCCUUAGUUGCUAUAGGGAUGGGUUGUCCAUGGCAACAGUGUGAAAUAAGGGAAUGAGUUAGCACUGGCACAUAAACUUUGUAGGGUAUGGUAAACAGGAGCCUUUGGAGAUCCCAUUCAAACACAGACAGUCUAAAUUAUAAGACAACAAAGAAAAAGUAGCUUCUUCAAAAAAAAAAAUUUUUUUUUUAAAACUUAAAGGAUAAAAAUCAGAAAGAAUUCUCAGUUCGUCCAUAACAGUUUCCAUUGGCACAGACACAAAAUCAAAAAAAAAAAAAAAAACCACACAGGGACAAUAUAAAACUGUUAAAAAAUAUUUUUUUAAACUCACUUCACAGAAUAGAAUCACGUAUCUCACUAGUGCAACAUAAACUAUUCUCCAAUCCCUUUAAACCAGCCAUGCAGGGCUUGUAACAGGUAGAUUACACAGAUAUCAUCAACAAGUGCUUGUGAUGCAAAUCUAGAACAAGGCUUCACCACUGCUAAAUGUUUCUACUGGCUUUCAACCGCUUUCCCUCCCAGUGACACUUAUCUGAAGCAGCAAAAGAUCUCUCUUAGUCCCUUUCUAGUUUUUUAAGCCAUCCCAUUUGCUUUAGCUGCAGCUCUCUCGAGCCCUGGCAAACCCAGUCACUGCCGAUUGAUCUAAACCAGCGUGCCAGCCCAGGAAUCAGGAACAUUACAAAAUACAGAGACCAUACCUGCUGCACACACGGUGAAUAGUCUUUGUGUGUACACAUUAACAUUAUAUAUAAAAGUCCCACGGUUCAGCUUUAAGUCUCAUGAACUGCAUAAAACUUAAAACAAAUGCAAUUUUCACAUUUCAAGUAAUUUAGACUUAAAAAUAUAUAUAAGACCACUAAGACAAUAAGAAAUUAAGCAAACCUCUUGGAAUAAUCUGCAUCAC